CACAGUCAGUGUAAUGACACAUCUACGUCUUUUCAAAGUAAUGAUCCUGAGGUACUGCUGAAGGUCAGAUAUGAUCUUGCAGCCUUAUUGUUAAUGGAAUCGCAUACCCUCAAGCUCUAUAAAUAGAUUUUGCAGUCAGAUCCCCAGGCACUGUAUUUAAAUCCAUUCUCCAUAGAAAGUUUCCCAAGACUGAUGGAAAACUGUGUCAUAAGGAAGGAAAUAAUCAUGAGGAUGGCAAAAUGGGAAACAGAAUAAACAAAGACAAAAGGAGAACGUAUUGGUUUGAAAAGCGUGUAAGAAAAUCAGAAGAAUAAAAGCAAACUGAGGAAACAAGUAAAGCAACAAAAGAAAGACGGAUGGAAAAAAACAAAGGGAGGAAGUAACAAUGUUUUAUACUUUACAUCCACAAGAUGUUCCAUGCUUCACUGCCAAUGAGGAUUCUUAAAUGCAACAGUCAAUAUGUGCACAGCAUAAUCUCACAAAAAACAAUUAAAAACACGAGGAGAUGGUGCUCUCACUGAUGUUCAUUGAGGAAUAAAUACAUGCCUGAAGUUC